GUAAAAAUGUAAUUUUUUGUUUUUUAAUCUAUUCUUUGAGCAAUAUUAUUAUCCGUAUACCGUAAUCUAAAAUAUUAUGAUAUUACAUUAUUCUGAUAAAAUAUUAUGAAUAAUUAAACAGUCUAAACACGUUGGUAUGCGAGGUAUAUACGCACGCACACACGCAUUCACACACACACACACACACACACACGCACACACGCAUAGGUAAAUAGCUAGAGAUACGCUGCGUAACAUAUGCACGACAAGACAGAGUUGGGUUGUUCAGCUGAUACGACCUGACCCUAAAAAGUACCUACCUACAAUAAUAAUAUUAAUAAUACAUUAUUCGUUGAACGAGAAGAGAAUAAAAUUGCAUAAUAAUAUAAUUCGUAUGGGUUAAUAAUAUACAGCGUGGUCAAUAUAAUGUAGUAAGGCACUCGUUAUCCAGAAAAGUAUUAACUUUUUUCGGAAUCUGUAUACUAGUAACAUUUAAAACACAAGCUGCUCUAAAAUAUCGAAUUGAACCACUCUCCAUUUUUUGAUCUUCAAAGAGCACCCUAUAUUAAAACUUUCAUAAAUAGAUCGAAUUUUAGUUUGAAUAAACUCAAGUUCUGACAUUUUUUAUUGUUGAAAUAAUUUACUUUUAGGUUAGCCGUUUUUCGGGCAAAGGGAGAGUAGUAGAGUACUCUAUUAAAUCGUUACGCUAUCAUAUAAAUUAUGCCCCACUACUCUCUUCGUAUUCUAAUAUAAAAGUGGAACAUCUCGUGUCAACCGAUUAACGGAAAUAAAAAA